CAUGCCCUUUGGGGAUCUGGGAAGCCAAGAGGGAGACAAGUGAAAUGCAAAUGAUAAUCUGUAUGGUUCAUGACAACACUGCCGGGGGCAGAAAUGUUCCAAAACACACCAGCUUAACCCACAGGCCUGUUACGUGUAAAAGCAAGCCAUCCAGAUAACUCCCUUGAUGCACUGCUGGGAGGCCUUCUUGCAGACUGAGUACAUCAUACAAGAAGCAGACACAUCCAGCGUCUACUCUGAAUCAGCUGCAGAGGAAUGCUUGGAUGUAAAUGGCUGUCACCCUCUCAUCUCAGUAACUUUCAGAAUGUAAAAGCAGCAGAAUGAAAUGAAACUUACACCAUUUCAGAUGAGAACAGCUAAGGAAGCAAAAAACUUGGCAGGGAUCUAUCGCUUCAUGAGAACCAUGUUCUUGUCUGCCUUUAAUUCCACUCUAACUUCCACAAAAUAAAUAGCCCACAGAAGUCAAGCCCCUCAACUCUCACCCUGACAGCGUUUGCAGGCUGCAGCCACUCGCAGAGCAGCCCUGGGUGCUGUGCCCCAAGGGAUCCUCAGGUGCAGCCGAACUGGCAUCUUGCAGACUCAGAGUCCAUCAUACUACCUAAGUUUACUCCCCUGCAGAUGUGGCCAGCUUGUCCUUUGAGUUCACUGAGGAGUAACAUCCACUUACUGACAGGGUCUUGCUAUGGUACUCAGACUGCUCUCAAACUCCUGGGCUCAAGAAAUCUUCUUGCCUAAGCCUCCCAAAGUGCUGGGACUAUAGCUCAGCCACCACACUGGGUGCUUCAGAACUCGUUCACCUCAUAAAACAAACUCUGUACCCCAUAUAUCCAUUAAAUAACUGGCAACCA